AACGAACGCUGGCGGCAUGCCUAACACAUGCAAGUCGAACGAGACCUUCGGGUGUUGGGGCUCACGGGUUCGUAACCGGAGGGAACAUGCCCGUAUGGUCGGAAUAACUCCUCGCAAGGGGUGCUAAUACGGGAUAAUAUCUUCGGACCAAAGAUUUAUCGGCUUUGGAGGGGCCUGCGUUGGAUUGGCUAGUUGGUAGGGUAAAAGACGACCAAGGCGAUGUUCCAUAGCUGGUCUGGGAGGAGGAUCCGUACCACUGGGAGUGUGACACGGCCCAGACUCCUACGGGAGGGAGCAGUCGGGAAUAUUGGACGCCGGGCGAGAGCCUGAGCCUGCCAUGCCGCGUGGGUGAUGAAGGAGUUAGGAUUGUAAAGCUCUUUUGACCGGGCUGAUAGUGACGGUACCGGGAGAAUAAGAGCCGGCUAACUACGUG
rnacentral:rRNA from 1 species